rnacentral:rRNA from 1 species
CGGAGGAUCCGAGCGUUAUCCGGAUUUAUUGGGUUUAAAGGGUGCGCAGGCGGGAUGUUAAGUCGGCGGUGAAAUUUUGCAGCUCAACUGUAAAAGUGCCUUCGAUACUGGCUUCCUUGAGUGUGGAUGAAGUAGGCGGAAUUUGUGGUGUAGCGGUGAAAUGCUUAGAUAUCACGAGGAACUCCGAUUGCGCAGGCAGCUUACUAAACCACUACUGACGCUCAUGCACGAAGGCGUGGGGAUCAAACAGGAUUAGAUA